rnacentral:misc_RNA from 1 species
GAUGAAGAACGCAGCGAAAUGCGAUACUUGGUGUGAAUUGCAGAAUCCCGUGAACCAUCGAGUCUUUGAACGCAAGUUGCGCCCGAAGCCAUUAGGCCGAGGGCACGCCUGCCUGGGCGUCACACGUCGUUGCCCCCCCAUCUACUCCUUCGGGAUUGCGGGUGGCGGAUGAUGGCCUCCCGUGCGCCUCGUCGCGCGGUUGGCAUAAAUGCCAAGUCCUCGGCGACGCACGCCACGACAAUCGGUGGUUGCGAAACCUCGGUUGCCCGUCGUGUGCGGUCGUCGCGCAUCGAGGGCUAGAAAAAAUUGCCGGGCUCCGGCUCGGCUUUCAACGCGACCCCAGGUCAGGCGGGGUUACCCGCUGAAUUUAAGCAUAUCAAUAAGCGGAGGA